rnacentral:rRNA from 1 species
UACGGGGGGGGUAAGCGUUGUUCGGAAUUACUGGGCGUAAAGCGUGCGUAGGCGGUUCGUUAAGUUCGUUGUGAAAGCCCCGGGCUCAACCUGGGAAUGGCAAUGGAAACUGGCGGGCUUGAGUGUGGCAGAGGGGGGUGGAAUUCCGCGUGUAGCAGUGAAAUGCGUAGAGAUGCGGAGGAACACCGAUGGCGAAGGCAGCCCCCUGGGCCAACACUGACGCUCAGGCACGAAAGCGUGGGGAGCAAACAGG